UACGUAGGGGGCAAGCGUUGUCCGGAUUUAUUGGGCGUAAAGAGCGUGUAGGCGGCCAUGUAGGUCCGUUGUGAAAACUCGAGGCUCAACCUCGAGACGCCGAUGGAAACCAUGUGGCUAGAGUCCGGAAGAGGAGAGUGGAAUUCCUGAUGUAGCGGUGAAAUGCGCAGAUAUCAGGAAGAACACCAGUGGCGAAGGCGGCUCACUGGCCCGGUACUGACGCUGAGGCGCGAAAGCGUGGGGAGCAAACAGG
rnacentral:rRNA from 1 species